AUUGAACGCUGGCGGCAGACCUAACACAUGCAAGUCGAGCGAGCGGCGGACGGGUGAGUAAUGUCUGGGAAACUGCCUGAUGGAGGGGGAUAACUACUGGAAACGGUAGCUAAUACCGUAUACCAUCAGAUGUGCCCAGAUGGGAUUAGCUAGCAGGUGGGGUAACGGCUCACCUAGGCGACGAUCCCUAGCUGGUCUGAGAGGAUGACCAGCCACACUGGAGCUGAGACACGGUCCAGACUCCAACGGGAGGCAGCAGUGGGGAAUAUUGCGCAAUGGGCGCAAGCCUGAUGCAGCCAUGCCGCGUGUGUGAAGAAGGCCUUCGGGUUGUAAAGCACUUUCGGCGGGGAGGCGUUACCCGCAGAAGAAGCACCGGCUAACUCCGUGCCAGCCGCCGCGGUAAUAC
rnacentral:rRNA from 1 species